CCGGCGUUGCUCCUGCGCGUGACGACUCCGCACCGUCAGUCCAGUCCGAGUGUUUUCUUCUUCUAUUGUAGUUUGUGUGGUUAGUUUUCUGGGUACUUUCGGAUCUGAACCCAAAGGAAACUCUUCAAUCUCCAGUGACCGCAACACCAACAAGAAGACCGUCGCAUCCUUCGCGACUGCAAAUCAAACGUCCAGAUCAACCGGCAAGGCACUGACAGCUAUGUUAUGUUCUUCAACGAGGUCGGUCCCAGAUUGGGACAAUCGGAGGCUAACUCAUUUAUGGGAAACGAGGUGCACGGCAAGGGAGCAUUUUUAAUUGGUUUAAUGCUCCUUCUUAUUGACGAACAGAUAACCGAGUGGAGAUUGACUUAGACAGGUUCAGCUUCCAUUCACUUGAGAAUUUUGAAGACAACUAUGGACUCAGAGCUGAUCACAAACAAUUCGUGUUCACUUCAGCUGUUAAGAGGAUUAGCAUGCUUUAAACGAUUUGCAGACAAGUUCCAGUGGAAGAUGAAAAUGGUAAUAAGAUGAUCAAUGAGUAUGUUGUUGACCAGUGAAUAUUUGAUCUGUAGCUAGCCAAGUAAUUUUAUAUCAAACCUCUGUUGAUGGGCAAUCUUAUGCUAUCAAGUUGAAUUGGGAUGCAUUAACAAAGCAGCUAUAAAACAAAAAGAAAGGGGGGAGGGGGGCUAACUUCUCUCUCUAGAAAAAGGUAACGUUGCAUUUUUUAGUCAGCUUUUAGUAGGCAAAAGUCUUGAAACUACAUUGUUUGUGUUACUCUUUUUCCUCUUUUUGUCGCAAAUGUCUCUCUUAUUCUAUAGCUGGUUUGUAUGGGUUAUUUUGGUUCCAUGUGGAUUUUCCGUUUUGUAUUGUGAUUGAAUGGUUGUGAUCACACAUGUGUGGAAGAGCCGAAGAGGAGGCCAAAUAAAGAGUUGGUGAAGCUGCGAACCAGCAAGAAAACAAAGAAAAGUACGAUUACAAAUUUCACUGUAAUAUAUGACUAUCUAUCUUCUGGCUCCCCUUUGUUGUUGGCACUUGGAGUCAGAAUCUAAGGAAUCCAGCUUAGUGUU